rnacentral:sRNA from 1 species
GUGCUGAAAUCUGAACCCUCCAGUAACUUACCUAUUGGUUUCUGUUUCAUGUUCUGGAGCCACACAUAAUAAAUCUAAUCUCUAAAGCGCUGUACAAAUAUAAUUAAGUGGCUCUUUAUAUCUUUCAGGUCACCUUCUUGACUCCUUCGCCCGUUCAGCUUUAUGGGAUUCAGGCCUAGAUUACUUGCACGGGACUGGACAUGGUGUUGGGUCUUUUUUGAAUGUCCACGAGGGUCCUUGCGGCAUCAGUUACAAAACAUUCUCUGAUGAGCCCUUGGAGGCAGGCAUGAUUGUCACUGAUGAGCCCGGGUAUUAUGAAGAUGGGGCUUUUGGAAUUCGCAUUGAGAACGUUGUCCUUGUGGUUCCUGUGAAGACCAAGUAUAAUUUUAAUAACCGGGGAAGCCUGACCUUUGAACCUCUAACUUUGGUUCCAAUUCAGACCAAAAUGAUAGAUGU